UAGCAUUGAGGCGAACGGUCGUAAAGUGCUUGAACGACGGGAAAAAAAGGAAUCACGACAGUCACUAUUUGCACUCCUCUUAGAAUGGUUCCAGAGUACGCAAGUCCGGCCAAUGCCAGGAAAAUUAUAAGAAAUAGUUAAUUUCAAACAGCAUUCUGGCAUCUUAAUAUGAUAGGGAGUAAAUCGCUUCACGAAUGCGAAUUAUUUUGACGUUUGUUCCGCGUCAAGACAAUGUUGCCACUUUUGCAUAUGUCGAUGGGAUAUGUUACCGCGACCCGGGGCGAGAAAAACACACUCUUUUAGUUGCCUACUUAGCAGCUACAAAGCUGUAAUUUUAUUGUGUAUGAGUUAUUCCUGCAGGCUCGCGGUAUCUGAUCUACGACCUCAGCAGAUAUGCGGUCAACACUAAAGUUUUAAUUGUAGGUUAUAAAUAUAGUAAGUAUUCAUAUUAAGGCAACUGCAAAACAAACCUUCGAUAUUUGUUCCUUUUCCGUUUACUGCACGGAUGGAAUCCUACUGAUAAUAGUAAUAAUACUAUUCCGAAAUAUUACCACCAAAUA